CUUCUUAUUUUCCCUUACUUCAUGUGCAUAGUGCAUUGCCAUUUUGUCACAAUUCACAGCUUUGCGUAUGCCCUACCUAUGCCUAAGCAAGGGCUUGCGGACCCCACCCUGCCAAUCGAUGGGCGUUGCAAGGAUUCGGCCGGCACUCGGCAACGCGGUGACGACCAACAGCUUACCGAGGAAUAGUAGUAAUUCAAUGAGGCUGACUUGCCGACUAGUCAGACUGUACAAUGGAGUCAGCAGGAGCGACAGCUUUGCAAGGCCAAAGUCUGAAAUCUUUGGAUUGAAGCUGCAGUCAAGCAAGAUGUUGUGAGGUUUGAUGUCGAAGUGGAGGAUGCGCUGAUUGCCCCCUUGAUGCAGAAUGCUUGCCUCCGUUGUGAGCUGAAUCCACAGUGAUGCCCUUUUUGCUCGCAUUCUAUACAAAUGUUGGCAAUGUCAGGAAUCGACCAACUCAACGUUGCCUCAGCAGAUGUGAUGAUUCUUUUGGCCCUUUUG